AGAGGAGGGCAGACUGCUGAGCCGCGUCCUUCUGUAGCUGAUUUCUGACUGUUCCAACCAAGCAAUAAACAUCCGUGACCCAGGCCUGGUCGCACGUGCCUGCAAGCUGGAUGCACAAUAAUUGCCACAAGUUCAAGAUCAGCCGAGGACUCAGGCCAAGCAGGUCUAUACAUCGAGACCCCGCUUCAGCGAGUCAAGAAAACCAAGCCAAAAGUGUGGCAGUACACACCUCCCAAUGCUCACUCCCGCAGCUGAGGCAGGAGGAUCACAUGCUCCAGGCUUGAACUACAGAGCAAAACCCUGUCUCAGACAUUAAAAAGGAAAACGGAAGUGAGGCUG
ensembl:antisense Gm15123 predicted gene 15123